AGUGAACGCUGGCGGUAGGCCUAACACAUGCAAGUCGAACGGCAGCACAGUAAGAGCUUGCUCUUACGGGUGGCGAGUGGCGGACGGGUGGGGAAUACAUCGGAAUCUACUUUUUCGUGGGGGAUAACGUAGGGAAACUUACGCUAAUACCGCAUACGACCUACGGGUGAAAGCAGGGGAUCUUCGGACCUUGCGCGAUUGAAUGAGCCGAUGUUGGAUUAUCUAGUUGGCGGGGUAAAGGCCCACCAAGGCGACGAUCCGUAGCUGGUCUGAGAGGAUGAUCAGCCACACUGGAACUGAGACACGGUCCAGACUCCUACGGGAGGCAGCAGUGGGGAAUAUUGGACAAUGGGCGCAAGCCUGAUCCAGCCAUACCGCGUGGGUGAAGAAGGCCUUCGGGUUGUAAAGCCCUUUUGUUGGGAAAGAAAAGCAGCAGGUUAAUACCCCGCUGUUCUGACGGUACCCAAAGAAUAAGCACCGGCUAACUUCGUG
rnacentral:rRNA from 1 species